rnacentral:rRNA from 1 species
GUUUGAUUCUGGCUCAGGAUGAACGCUGGCGGCAUGCCUAAUACAUGCAAGUCGAACGGAGUGAAGCCUUCGGGUUUCAUUCAGUGGCGAACGGGUGAGUAAUACGCAGGGAACCUGGCCAUGGCAGGGGGAUACACUCUGGAAACGGAGCAUAAGACCCCAUAGGCAGUAAGGCGGCAUCGCCUUACUGUUAAAGAAAGCUGAAAGGCUUUGGCGAUGGAUGGACCUGCGGUGCAUUAGCUUGUUGGUGAGGCAACGGCUUACCAAGGCGAUGAAGCAUAGCCGGCCUGAGAGGGCGGACGGCCACACUGGGACUGAGACACGGCCCAGACUCCUGCGGGAGGCAGCAGUAGGGAAUUUUCGUCAAUGGGCGCAAGCCUGAACGAGCAAUGCCGCGUGAGUGAGGAAGGUCUUCGGACUGUAAAGCUCUGUUGCCGGGGAAAAAGGGGAAAUGCAGGAAAUGGCAUUUCAUGGAUGGUACCCGGCCAGAAAGCCACGGCUAACUACGUGCCAGCAGCCGCGGUAAUACGUAGGUGGCGAGCGUUAUCCGGAAUGAUUGGGCGUAAAGGGUGCGCAGGCGGUCUGUUAAGUCUGAAGGCAAAGGGAUGAGCUCAACUCAUUUAUGAUUCAGAAACUGGCAGACUUGAGGACAGGAGAGGGCGGUGGAACUCCAUGUGUAGCGGUAAAAUGCGCAGAGAUAUGGAAGAACACCAGUGGCGAAGGCGGCCGCCUGGCCUGUGACUGACGCUGAGGCACGAAAGCGUGGGGAGCAAAUAGGAUUAGAUACCCUAGUAGUCCACGCCGUAAACGAUGAGGAGCAGGUGUUGGGAGUGAAAUCUCAGUGCCGAAGCCAACGCAGUGACUCCUCCGCCUGGGGAGUAUGCACGCAAGUGUGAAACUCAAAGGAAUUGACGGGGGCCCGCACAAGCGGUGGAGUAUGUGGUUUAAUUCGAAGCAACGCGAAGAACCUUACCAGGUUUUGACAUCGGAUGCGAAGGCGCAGAGAUGCGCUGGAGGCUAUCAUCCAGACAGGUGGUGCAUGGUUGUCGUCAGCUCGUGUCGUGAGAUGUUCAGUUAAGUCUGGCAACGAGCGCAACCCCCGUGGUAUGUUACUAACGCUUUAGGGCGAGGACUCAUAUCAGACUGCCGGUGACAAACCGGAGGAAGGCGGGGAUGACGUCAAAUCAUCAUGCCCCUUAUGACCUGGGCUACACACGUACUACAAUGGCGUCUACAGAGGGAAGCGACCCUGAGAAGGGAAGCGAAACCGGAAAAGGGCGUCCCAGUUCGGAUUGAAGUCUGCAACCCGACUUCAUGAAGAUGGAAUCGCUAGUAAUCGCGGAUCAGCAUGCCGCGGUGAAUACGUUCCCGGGCCUUGUACACACCGCCCGUCAAACCAUGGAAGCCGGCAACGCCCGAAGCCGGUGGCAUAACCUUUUAGGAGUGAGCCGUCGAAGGCGGGGCCGAUGACUGGGGUUAAGUCGUAACAAGGUACCC